GGUGGCACAGUGGUUAAGCAUUUGGCUGCUAAUCAAAAGGUUGGCGGUUCAAAUCCACCAGCCA
rnacentral:tRNA from 1 species